GGAGCACCGUUUUGUUUCCUCAGCAGGCCUGCCUGCUACUGGGGACCCUUAAAACUCUUUGUAAAUACAGUAACUGUCUGAAAAAACAAACAAAAAAUCAAAACUUUCAACAAUGGAUCUCUUGGUUCUGGCAUCGAUGAAGAACGCAGCAAAAUGCGAUAAGUAGUGUGAAUUGCAGAAUUCAGUGAAUCAUCGAAUCUUUGAACGCACAUUGCGCCCUUUGGUAUUCCUUAGGGCAUGCCUGUUCGAGCGUCAUUUUCACCUUCAAGCACAGCUUGGUGUUGGGUGUCUGUCCUGCCGUCGGCAUGGACUCGCCUUAAAAUAAUUGGCAGCCACUUCAGCGGCUUUGAGCGCAGCAGAAUUGCGUCUUUAGCAGCAGAAGGUGGCCUCCAUAAGCUCUACUUUUAUAUUUUGACCUCGGAUCAGGUAGGGAUACCCGCUGAACUUAAGCAUAUCAAUAAGCG
rnacentral:rRNA from 1 species